rnacentral:rRNA from 1 species
UACGGAGGGUGCGAGCGUUGUCCGGAAUCACUGGGCGUAAAGGGCGCGUAGGUGGCCUGUGGAAGUCUGCGGUGAAAGCCCGGCGCUCAACGCCGGGUCGGCCGUGGAUACUCUCGGGCUUGAGCUUACUAGAGGCAGAUGGAAUUCCGGGUGUAGCGGUGGAAUGCGUAGAGAUCCGGAAGAACACCGGUGGCGAAGGCGGUCUGCUGGGCAGUUGCUGA